GUUUAUGACUUGCGGGGUGCCUAAUAAUGCAAGUCGAGCGGACAGAAGGGAGCUUGCUCCCGGAUGUUAGCGGCGGACGGGUGAGUAACACGUGGGUAACCUGCCUGUAAGACUGGGAUAACUCCGGGAAACCGGAGCUAAUACCGGAUAGUUCCUUGAACCGCAUGGUUCAAGGAUGAAAGACGGUUUCGGCUGUCACUUACAGAUGGACCCGCGGCGCAUUAGCUAGUUGGUGAGGUAACGGCUCACCAAGGCGACGAUGCGUAGCCGACCUGAGAGGGUGAUCGGCCACACUGGGACUGAGACACGGCCCAGACUCCUACGGGAGGCAGCAGUAGGGAAUCUUCCGCAAUGGACGAAAGUCUGACGGAGCAACGCCGCGUGAGUGAUGAAGGUUUUCGGAUCGUAAAGCUCUGUUGUUAGGGAAGAACAAGUGCAAGAGUAACUGCUUGCACCUUGACGGUACCUAACCAGAAAGCCACGGCUAACUACGUGCCAGCAGCCGCGGUAAUACGUAGGUGGCAAGCGUUGUCCGGAAUUAUUGGGCGUAAAGGGCUCGCAGGCGGUUUCUUAAGUCUGAUGUGAAAGCCCCCGGCUCAACCGGGGAGGGUCAUUGGAAACUGGGAAACUUGAGUGCAGAAGAGGAGAGUGGAAUUCCACGUGUAGCGGUGAAAUGCGUAGAGAUGUGGAGGAACACCAGUGGCGAAGGCGACUCUCUGGUCUGUAACUGACGCUGAGGAGCGAAAGCGUGGGGAGCGAACAGGUUUAGAUACCCUGGUAGUCCACGCCGUAAAACGAUGAGUGC
rnacentral:rRNA from 2 species